rnacentral:lncRNA from 1 species
UAUGCAUGUUUUAGAAGGGUUAAAUGCAUGUGUUGAGGUCUGAACAGGUGAUGGAGGGACUGGCAGGCGUCCUUGUGCACGAAACUGAGUUCUGGCUAAACUCAGGUUCGGCCCCCGAAAGUCCAAGUUAGGCCGCCGAACAUGCCUGACUUUCGUCUCUGGAGGAGACAUUCGGCCGCCGAAGGUGCUGCCGAAGGUGCCCUGUCCAGCCUUCCUUUGCUUGUUUUGCAUGCAUGUUUUGUGAUGUUUUAGAGGGUUUUUGGAGAGAUGUUCAUAGUUAUGUUAGAGUAUGUUUGGUACCUCAUUUACGUCCAUCUGUGUAGGAUUAGACCGAGGAACCGAGGAGGCUCCAGAGUUAGAGUUGGCCCAGAGUUAGCCAGCAUUGGCUAGAGGUGAGUGGAACUAAACUACAUAUUUUCUCUUGAGAAAUGACACGAUUCUAGCAUGAUCCAUGCAUCAUAAACUGCCAUGUUAUGUAUUAGGUUGUAUUGCAUUAGACUUCACGACGAUGAUGCAUUGCAUAUACGUUGUUGUUUAUGUGGAUGAAUGUUGGAUGAUCCUUAGCCCUUGACAGAGAGCAGAUAUAGAUAUAUGGCAUGAGAUAGCCAUACCAGGUCGCCCCUGGAUAGUCCAGGUCGCUCCUGGUACUAUGAGUGAGACAGCUGGGCUGUCAAAUCAGAGUUAAGUGUAGACCAGGUGAGACCUCGUCUCCUUGGCACAGUUGGUCAUGUUAUGAUAUCAGAGAGAUAAGUGUAGACCAGGUGAUGACAUAGUCUCCUUGGCACAGUUGGCAUUAUUAUAACAUGUAGUUAAGGGUUAUUGGUGACAAAUUCAUCCUUGAGAUGAUAUGUUUGUGAUGUGAUGCAUUUCAUGAGAGAGCAUGUAAUGAAUGAACUGUUUUUAUUGUUCCUCCUCACUGGGCUGUAGUAGCUCAUCCCACUCCCUUAACCCCAGUUUUGCAGGUUCUGAGAUAGCUAUGGGAAGUUAAAGUCAGCAAGAGUACAGAGGGAAGAUAUGCAUGAAUGUAU